CAAAGUCCCAAACCCUUGUUGCAGGCCAUUCCUCCAUCCCCCUUCUUCUCUUCCAGUUGCCCCCCCACGCCUUCCUUCCUCCUCCCUGUACGCUCCCUCUCAGACCCGGAGCCGGAAGCUGCCAGAUCUCGGUAUCCCGUCGGCCGGACAUCUGCGCCGCGGUAACUGACUUCCGGUGGCCGCCGGAGCCUUUUCUCACCGUACUUCAUCACCGGCGCCUGCUGCUUUGGUUAGUGAGGUAACAUCCACCCAUUUCCCCGUCCCUUUCCUUCUAUCACGUGAACGGCACGUGUCUGUGAGGCGAUUCAGUCCCUUCCUUCCUGAUAUCCAUAGCAUUGCUCUUUUCCUCCCGUUCGGCGGUGGCCUCCAUGCCCGCGUCGCUCGAGAAAAUUAUUUAGUAACAGAUCUGGUCCCCGUAGCCAUUACCUUUCCCUUUUCUGUUACCCAGCGUCGGAUCGGGUUUUUUGCGCCAUUGACGCGGGAAAUGUGGUUUAUUCGGGGUUUUAAUUCCUAGUUCGCGCGCUGGGUACCCGCCAGGCACCGAAAGCAUGAUUCCGGAGAGAGAAGAAUUAGAAGGUUUGGCACUGUUGCUGCUGCUGCUGCUGCUGCUUUAGUAAACAAAUGUAUGGUGGAUGAAUGACGGAGCUCGGAGCGUUCUGAGAUCUGUGCGGUGGGUGAUCCAACGGUGGAUUCGUGCGAAUGAAGGUGAAUCUUUCUUGAAUUAGGAGGUUUCGAGGAGAGAAGACAGAUUGCCCAAAGUCCCCUUCUUUUGUUUGCCUUUCUCCGAAGUAUCCAAACAGGGCAAGGUAGUGAUGAUGAACCUUCGUCUCUUUAGUAUUCUCCUGUGAUUCUUCUAACGGUGGCAGGGCAGCUCGGAAGGUCUGCUGCUCUGCAGACAACCGCUGCAGCCAUUCGAUGAGAGGAGUCCAGGGUUGAUGAAGAAGAGAUGAUGGAUCAAAGGAAGCAAAGGCCCCAGGAACAGGAGCUGGCUAUGAGUCUUCCCCCUUGAUGGAAGGGAGGUGGAGAGUUUCCCGGCCUGCAGAGGGGCAAUUUGGGAAGUUGGGGACAGUAGUUUUGUUUUUGGUGGAGAGAGAGAGAGAGAGAGAGGAGG
rnacentral:lncRNA from 1 species